GAUUGUUGCUGGCUGGUCCCAGUGCAGAAGUUGUAGCUGACCUGUAAUAGGUGACAGCUGAAGAAAUGGACUGAUGGUAACCUCAGAAAGCUGGACAAAGGGAAAUGCAAUCCCCUGUGCCAUGGGUGGGACAGGAUGGAUGUAGAGGAAACUGUGUGGGAAAGGAGUACCAGGUCCCCAGUGAGAAAUACUUCUGUAGAGAAGACAGAGGGGAAAACAUGAACAAUGGGCUUCUCCUGCCCUAAUUGCCAGUACAGCAGAUGAAGCUGGACUAAAAUUGAUGUCUUCGACCAGGACACUUAACAUUCAGAAGCCAAACCUACCAGCACAGGGAGUGAUA
rnacentral:lncRNA from 1 species